rnacentral:rRNA from 1 species
UACGGAGGGUGCAAGCGUUGCUCGGAAUCAUUGGGCGUAAAGGGUAGGUAGGUGGUCUUAUUUGUCUGGGGUGAAAGCCUUGAGCUUAACUCAAGAAGUGCCUCGGAAACGGUAAGACUUUGAGUCUCGGAGAGGGUCGUGGAAUUCCCGGUGUAGCGGUGAAAUGCGUAGAGAUCGGGAGGAACACCAGCGGCGAAGGCGGCGACCUGGACGAGCACUGACACUCAACUACGAAAGCGUGGGGAGCAAACAGG